GUUGGGCAUUGGUCAAGGAGCUAGUGGCCGAUUCCGACAAAAGGGAGCUGUUUGCUGAUCGAGCCGAGAGCUUGUUGCACUCCCUGAAGCAGCGGUCUCCUGUAGACAACCCUGGACUUCUGCAAAAUCCAAUUCAACAAGCGCUCUAGGAUGUUGGAAAAUCCAUUCUGGAGAGCUACUCGAGAGUAUUGGAAAGCAGGGCAUACAAUAUCGUGGCUAGUAUUGAUGAUCUACUCUGCAUAGAUGACCUUACCAAACAACCAGACAAAUUGCCUCCGAACAACAAGGACCUUGGUCAGAUUGCUCACAAGAAAAGCAGUCCUGCAAUCCCGCAAUCCAUGCCAGCCUCAAGCACUCCGUAUAAGGCUGCUUUCACCACUCCGAGUUUUUUUCCUGCACACAUGAUGGAAAGCAGAAGGAGUCUGGGACUUUAGCUGAGAAGUUGGGGUACUCGUCCUGACACGAGCCUAAAGCGUUGGCAGUCCAAAAUGGGAGAGAACUACUGAAUUUGCAGGAGGCUUAAAGAGAUCGAGUUGGGGAGGAC